rnacentral:rRNA from 1 species
AAUGCGUAGAUAUGCGGAGGAACACCGAUGGCGAAGGCAAUCCCCUGGGCCUGCACUGACGCUCAUGCACGAAAGCGUGGGGAGCAAACAGGAUUAGAUACCCUGGUAGUCCACGCCCUAAACGAUGUCAACUGGUUGUUGGAAGGUUCCUUCUCAGUAACGUAGCUAACGCGUGAAGUUGACCGCCUGGGGAGUACGGCCGCAAGGUUGAACUCAAAGGAAUUGACGGGGACCCGCACAAGCGGUGGAUGAUGUGGUUUAAUUCGAUGCAACGCGAAAAACCUUACCUACCCUUGACAUGUCUGGAAUCUUGCAGAGAUGUGAGAGUGCUCGAAAGAGAACCAGAACACAGGUGCUGCAUGGCCGUCGUCAGCUCGUGUCGUGAGAUGUUGGGUUAAGUCCCGCAACGAGCGCAACCCUUAUCAUUAGUUGCUACGCAAGGGCACUCUAAUGAGACUGCCGGUGACAAACCGGAGGAAGGUGGGGAUGACGUCAGGUCAUCAUGGCCCUUAUGGGUAGGGCUACACACGUCAUACAAUGGCCGGUACAGAGGGCUGCCAACCCGCGAGGGGGAGCUAAUCUCAGAAAACCGGUCGUAGUCCGGAUCGCAGUCUGCAACUCGACUGCGUGAAGUCGGAAUCGCUAGUAAUCGCGGAUCAGCUUGCCGCGGUGAAUACGUUCCCGGGUCUUGUACACACCGCCCGUCACACCAUGGGAGCGGGUUCUGCCAGAAGUAGUUAGCCUAACCGCAAGGAGGGCGAUUACCACGGCAGGGUUCGUGACUGGGGUGAAGUCGUAACAAGGUAGCCGUAUCGGAAGGUGCGGCUGGAUCACCUCCU